rnacentral:rRNA from 1 species
CAGGCCUAAAAAAGCAAGUCGAGCGCCCCGCAAGGGGAGCGGCUGACGGUGUUUACCACACGUGGGAACGAUAGACCUUCAGUUCGGAACAACCCAGGGAAACUUGGGCUGAUACCGGAUACGUCCGUAAGGAGAAAGAUUUAUCGCUGAAGGAUCGGCCCGCGUCUGAUUAGCUAGUUGGUGGGGUAACGGCCCACCAAGGCGACGAUCAGUAGCUGGUCUGAGAGGAUGAUCACCCUCACUGGGACUGAGACACGGCUCAGACUCCUACGGGAGGCAGCAGUGGG